rnacentral:rRNA from 1 species
UGGGGAAUUUUGCACAAUGGGGGAAACCCUGAUGCAGCGACGCCGCGUGAUUUAGAAGGCCUUCGGGUUGUAAAAAUCUUUUCUAUGUGAAGAAAAUGACAGUACUAUACGAAUAAGGACCGGCUAAUUACGUGCCAGCAGCCGCGGUAAUACGUAAGGUCCGAGCGUUGUCCGGAAUCAUUGGGCGUAAAGGGUACGUAGGCGGGUAAGCAAGUUAGAAGUGAAAUCCUAUAGCUCAACUAUAGUAAGCUUUUAAAACUGCUCAUCUUGAGGUAUGGAAGGGAAAGUGGAAUUCCUAGUGUAGCGGUGAAAUGCGCAGAUAUUAGGAGGAAUACCGGUGGCGAAGGCGACUUUCUGGCCAUAACCUGACGCUGAGGUACGAAAGCGUGGGUAGCAAACAGG